UGGGAGGCUGAUACACAAGUAGGGAUGAAGUACUGCUCUACUUGUUACUACACCUCCCUAGAGCAGACUGCCUUCCGAUGACCUGGACGAAUUGAGAGAGGUCGUAACGGUUAGAAACAGGGCGAACAGUU
ensembl:snoRNA